AUUGAACGCUGGCGGCAUGCCUUACACAUGCAAGUCGAACGGCAGCACGGGUGCUUGCACCUGGUGGCGAGUGGCGAACGGGUGAGUAAUACAUCGGAACAUGUCCUGUAGUGGGGGAUAGCCCGGCGAAAGCCGGAUUAAUACCGCAUACGAUCUACGGAUGAAAGCGGGGGACCUUCGGGCCUCGCGCUUUAGGGUUGGCCGAUGGCUGAUUAGCUAGUUGGUGGGGUAAAGGCCUACCAAGGCGACGAUCAGUAGCUGGUCUGAGAGGACGACCAGCCACACUGGCACUGAGCCACGGCCCAGACUCCUACGGGAGGCAGCAGUGGGGAAUUUUGGACAAUGGGCGAAAGCCUGAUCCAGCAAUGCCGCGUGUGUGAAGAAGGCCUUCGGGUUGUAAAGCACUUUUGUCCGGAAAGAAAUCCUUGGCCCUAAUACGGUCGGGGGAUGACGGUACCGGAAGAAUAAGCACCGGCUAACUACGUG
rnacentral:rRNA from 1 species